ACGCUCGACACCUACGAGAGGCAGCAGUGGGGAAUAUUGCACAAUGGAGGAAACUCUGAUGCAGCGAUGCCGCGUGAGGGAAGAAGGUUUUCGGAUUGUAAACCUCUGUCUUUGGGGACGAUAAUGACGGUACCCAAGGAGGAAGCUCCGGCUAACUACGUGGCAGCAGCCGCGGUAAUCUGAGCGGGCUGGCAAGGC
rnacentral:rRNA from 1 species